UCCUGGCUCAGGAUGAACGCUGGCGGCGUGCUUAACACAUGCAAGUCGAACGGAGUAUUAAGAAUGAAGUUUCGGAUGGAUUUUUAAUACUUAGUGGCGGACGGGUGAGUAACGCGUGGGUAACCUGCCUCACACAGGGGGAUAACAGUUGGAAACGACUGUUAAUACCGCAUAAGACCACAGUACCGCAUGGUACAGGGGUAAAAACUCCGGUGGUGUGAGAUGGACCCGCGUCUGAUUAGUUAGUUGGCGGGGUAACGGCCCACCAAGACGACGAUCAGUAGCCGAUCUGAGAGGAUGACCGGCCACAUUGGGACUGAGACACGGCCCAAACUCCUACGGGAGGCAGCAGUGGGGAAUAUUGCACAAUGGGGGAAACCCUGAUGCAGCGACGCCGCGUGAGUGAAGAAGUAUUUCGGUAUGUAAAGCUCUAUCAGCAGGGAAGAAAAUGACGGUACCUGAGUAAGAAGCCCCGGCUAACUACGUGCCAGCCGCCGC
rnacentral:rRNA from 1 species